GAACUCGCUUGAUGGAGAUGUGGGAGGAACUAGAGAUAAAAGGAGUGGAAUUUAUAGCAACAAUUCGUCCAUCCAUGUCCACCCAGGUACUGUUCGCAAGCCUUCUGACCGCAUUACAGAUCAGAUCCCUAGCAGACUGAACACACAGGUGGCACGACUGAUGGUGUCAGGCCCCAGAAAUGACGACAAUAAUGUACCAGAAAGGGUUUAUCGGCGUGGCAAACUGAAAGAUGGUCAGUACGUAACCAUGGAAAUGAUAGACGAGGUUCCAGGUGAGGAUAAGUCGUUCAAGUCAGAUGAGUCUGUCCACACAUCAGAAGACAACGGCCUGUGUCCAGUACUAGAGGAUAUGUUAGCUCCAUACAUACAGU